rnacentral:rRNA from 1 species
UUUACCGGGGCGCCCACAGAGAGAGAUUGAGCGUCUGACAGGAGCUUGCUCCUGGAUUAGCGGCGGACGGGUGAGUAAUGCCUAGGAAUCUGCCUGGUAGUGGGGGACAACGUUUCGAAAGGAACGCUAAUACCGCAUACGUCCUACGGGAGAAAGCAGGGGACCUUCGGGCCUUGCGCUAUCAGAUGAGCCUAGGUCGGAUUAGCUAGUUGGUGAGGUAAUGGCUCACCAAGGCGACGAUCCGUAACUGGUCUGAGAGGAUGAUCAGUCACACUGGAACUGAGACACGGUCCAGACUCCUACGGGAGGCAGCAGUGGGGAAUAUUGGACAAUGGGCGAAAGCCUGAUCCAGCCAUGCCGCGUGUGUGAAGAAGGUCUUCGGAUUGUAAAGCACUUUAAGUUGGGAGGAAGGGUUGUAGAUUAAUACUCUGCAAUUUUGACGUUACCGACAGAAUAAGCACCGGCUAACUCUGUGCCAGCAGCCGCGGUAAUACAGAGGGUGCAAGCGUUAAUCGGAAUUACUGGGCGUAAAGCGCGCGUAGGUGGUUUGUUAAGUUGGAUUGUGAAAUCCCCGGGCUCAACCUUGGGAACUGGCAUUCAAAACUGGCAAGCUAGAGUAUGGUANAGGGUGGUGGAAAUUUCCUUGUGUAGCGGGGAAAAUGCCUUAAAUUUAGG